ensembl:lncRNA
AAGUUGUUUAACCUGGCAUUUAAAGUUUCUAAGGAGGACCCCAAUUUGACUGUCUAAAGAUUUCCCUCCCUACCUCCAUUUAUGUCAUUUAAACUCUCUGGGCCUUAGGAGUCUAAUAUAUAGGAUGGGAAUGAAAAUAUUUCCCCAGCCUGAAGGAGUUGAAGACUAGAUAAUCCAUUUAGUUUCCUCUAUAAGAACUAUGAUUCUGGGAUUGUAAGUGCCCAGUAUCCAGAAACCAAACAUGUCUCCUCUCUGGUCUCCAUAUCCUCCCAUGUCCAUGUCUUGGUUCAUUUGUCCUUUGGCCAUCUUCCUCUAUCUCCCUCUAUCUUUCAUGUUAAAUCCCGUCAAAUUUCAACAAGAGCAAAGGAUAGAGGGAAGAAAAGUCAGAACAUACUCAAGGAAUGCAACUAGUCCUCUAAGGGUGGAACCACUAAGGUUACACGCAGGUGAGAAGGAAGAGAUGGAACUAAAGAGGCGGUCUAGCUAGAUCAGCCAAGCCAAAAGCCUCAGGCUGAGAUUUCAACUGAAUUUAGAAGUCGUAGGGAUUCCGUUGAUAGUUUCUGAGCAGAUGUGACAUGAUCAAAGGUGAGGCUUAAGAAGACUGACUUGCCUUGAGCUGGGGACAUCAGAGGUUGUUUCAAACUUUUUUAAAAUUGCUUUUUCUCCCCAAUCCCCCCAGUACAUAGUUGUAUAUUUCAGUUGUGGGUCCUUCUUGUUGUGGCAUGUGGGACGCCACUUCAACAUGGCCUGACGAGUGGUGCUAUGUCCUCGCCCAGGAUCCGAACCGGUGAAACCCUGGGCUGCGGAAGCGGAGCGCCAACCUAACCACUCGGCCAUGGGGCCGGCCCCCAGAGGUUAUUUCAAUAGCAAAACUGACACAGCCUGAACGACACUGGGAUCAGGACAGGCCAGACCAGGGAUGGAUCCUAGAAAUCCAGACAGGCAGCACCUGGGAGGUUGUCACAGCCACCGAAGGGCCAUCCGGGGGAGCAGAAGGAAUAUCGUGUCUAAGGGGCAGACUCGAGCAGAGGGCCAAGUAGGUGGCUGGCUCCCGCCCACUCUGGCAACGUUGCACAGGGACACAGCCAGGAGCUGGGGCUUGGGAGCAGGAGGCCGGUCCCUGAGGGCUGGUGAGAGCCAAGCUUCUGGCAGAAAAGAAACGGAAUCACCCUUUCCUCAGUCCUGCAUGUGACAGUUUCUCUGCCCGCCCUUUUGCACACUGGUCUAUCUGACUCCAAAGCUGGAAGUCUGAAUGACACUAAACAACCACCAAUGUCUCUGAGGACAAGCAGCAAGUUCUCUCUCCUCCUGGGCCCUGGCACAUAUUUAUACAGAGUGUAUCAUGAACAUCUGGGUCCCCGCUGCCCCAAGGUGCUCAGUAGAUGGGUAGUGCCACUCAAAGAGCAGCCAUGGAGGGAGGAAGCCGAGUCUCGGGCUGGAGCUGCCAGGAUCUGUGUGGGUCCCACUGAAGUCCGGCAGCCCCGCCAGGAGUGCAAGAAGCUGGCUGUGGUCCCUCUGGAGCAGUGCACUCCUGGGGUAAACAAGCAGUGUUUGCCAGGAAAAGGGUAUGGAACUGUUUCUCUUGGUAAAGUCUCCAAAAACACGUAUUAUUUGGAAUCCCUGGCUCCUAGUUAUUCAAACACUUACCAAAAGCACCUCUGCCAGCAGGGAAGUAGAGGAAAGGCAGGCAAUUACACUUCUGAGGCUCCUAGGAUAUUAAAAAAAGGUAUAAAUGGCUAAACAGGAUUUAAAAACCAUAGUAUAUUUUAAUGUUUGUGUUUUUAAAAUUAAAGUUGUAUGAUAAAUAUUGUCUUCUUUCCCUCCUGUUAGGAAAACUUUGCGUCUGAAUCAUAACCUCAUUGGCAGAUAGCUCAAAAGUCUAAAUUUGAGGCUCUUCAUGAAUACGGGACCUGGAUGUCUUGCCCCCUAAUCCUACCCACGGUUCCCCCCUUGUCUCCUACCAGGCCCUGAGGUCCAGAAUACAGCUCAUUAUGGUUUUGACUAAUACCAGACUGUCCACUGCUCCAUUCAACCACAGAGGCUCCCUUUGACCUCAAAUCGAGCCUGAGUUUCCAUCAGCCCCGGGGCUGCCCCGCAUGCUAGACUCUGUCCUUGUCUGAAGCAAGUCUCCUGGGUCGUGAGAGCCUUUGCUGCAAACUCAGCCAAUAAACCAUGCUACUUGGCUUGAGUUCUCUCUCUGAUUUCCCCACAUGCACUAAAAUUGUGAGAACUCUUUAUUUCUAAAUGCUCGGACACGUUCACCUGUAGCAACAGGGAAAGAAGGAAUUCCCCAGAGACACUCUUUCGCUUGGGCACAUGACA